rnacentral:rRNA from 1 species
GUAGGAUUGACAGAUUGAGAGUUCUUUCUUGAUUGGUCUAGUGGUGGUGCAUGGCCGUUCUUAGUUGGUGGAGUGAUUUGUCUGGUUAAUUCCGUUAACGAACGAGACCUUAACCUGCUAACUAGUACUGUUAUGUUUAAUGGCAGCUACUUCUUAGAGGGACUAUGUGUUGUAAACACAUGGAAGUUUGAGGCAAUAACAGGUCUGUGAUGCCCUUAGAUGUCCUGAGCCGCACGCGUGCUACAAUGACACAUUCAACGAGCAUUUCCUGAUACGAAAGUAUUUGGGUAAUCUGUGUAGUGUGUGUCGUGUUAGGGAUAGAUCUUUGUAAUUAUGGAUCUUGAACGAGGAAUUCCUAGUAAGCGCAAGUCAUCAGCUUGUGCUGAUUACGUCCCUGCAAAAUGUACACACCGCCCGUCGCUUUUACCGAUUGAGUGCUCAGGUGAGCCUUCUUGAUAGUUGCAAAACUAAAAAUUAAGCAAACCUUAGCACUUAGAGGAAAAAGAAGUCGUAACAAGGUUUCCGUAGGUGAACCUGCGGA